rnacentral:rRNA from 1 species
UACGGAGGGUGCAAACGUUGCUCGGAAUCAUUGGGCGUAAGCGCACGUAGGUGGCUUGUUAAGUCGGGUGUGAAAUCCCUGGGCUCAACCCAGGAAGUGCACUCGAAACUGGCGAGCUUGAGUACUGAAGAGGGUCGCGGAAUUCCCGGUGUAGAGGUGAAAUUCGUAGAUAUCGGGAGGAACACCAGUGGCGAAGGCGG